AGAGGUUUAGGUUAAACUAGACCAAGAGCCUUCAAAGCUCUAAGCAAGUGUCGUUCACUUAACCCCUG
rnacentral:tRNA from 1 species